CUCCCCCCCCCACCCCCGUCUUCCAAGUUCCCAGGGCGUUUGUUUGAUGUCUUUUUCUGUUCGAUUAUUGGACCCUAAGGACGGACCCAGGGUCAGUAGGUGACAUACAAAAAUGAACGAAUUGAGCGGUUCUUAUCACCUCCCUUGCUCCCCCCCCCUGUGUCCACAGCGCCUAGCACGUAGUAGGCGCUCCUUAAACAUCUGGAGAGCAAAUGAGCUGCAAGUUUGCGGCGCUGAGCACGUGGGACUGGGGAAACCAGGACAGCAGAGGAGGGUGUCCCCGACCACAAAAGCCAUGCGGGCGCGUGCAGAAGGCUGCGGCGGGCGCUGCCUGCGUGGCGCCCGGGGCGGGGGCGCGGGGGCCCGCGGCAGCACGUGCGCGCCGCCGGCAGGCUCGCGUGAGACGCCGGCCCGCCAGCCAGCCGCUCCGCGAUCCAACCCGCGCGCCCCCAACGGCCCCCCAACCGCCGCCCAGGCCCGAGGGCGCCAUGAGUAGCCCGCGCUGCGCCCCGCUGCUGCUCCUGCUGCUGCUGCCGCCGCUGCUGCUCAAACCCCCCGCGGGGGACGCCGCCGUCAUCACCGGGGCCUGCGACAAGGACCCCCAGUGUGGUGGAGGCAUGUGCUGUGCUGUUAGUAUCUGGGUUAAGAGCAUACGGAUUUGCACACCGAUGGGCAAAGUGGGAGACAGCUGCCAUCCGCUGACUCGUAAAGACGACCUACGUGACAAGCCAAAGAGUGGCCAAGGUGUCGAGAUGCACAGAGCACCACACUGAAACCAAGAGGACACUUCUUCUGAGUACCUGAAACUAUCUUACUGGGUAUCUGUCAUUAAAAUUUAAGUUCCAUGAAGGGCAGAGGCCUUUCCUGUUUGGUUCUUCACUGUAUCUGCAGCACCUAAAGUAGGGUCUGAUAUGUUGGUGACACUCAGUAAAUGCCUGUUGAAUGAAUGAAUGAAAGACACGUGCUUGGCGUUCUCCAUGGGUACAGUUUGACACCCUUAUUACAGUUAGAGCUCACUUGUUCCAGGCUCCUUGGAUAUCGCUGUCUGUGUUCAUUUUUCUCAACCUCAGCACCGUUGACAUUUUUUGGACAUUUUUUUAUACCAGAUAAUUCUUUGCUGCGGAUACUGUCCCCUGAGUUGUGGGAUGUUUAGCAACAUCCUUGGCCUGUAGCCACUGGGGGCCGGUAGUGCUGCCCCCUCUCCUCAUUUGUGACGCACAAAAAUGUCUCUGGACGUUACCAGAUGUCCCCUGGGGGGCUGGGGGCAGAAUCACCCCAAAUUGAGAACCAUUGGUUCGUGUAGUCGUUUGGGGCUUGGUGAAAGGAAUCUCUCAGAUCUCAGGGUCACGAAAGGAUCAUAAAGGUCAUGAGUUACAGCAUCUCAUACCAUCCACUUGUAAUUGUCCAGGCCAUUCCUGCUGCCUCCACCUCCUCUGACGUAGUCUCGGGGGCAACAAAUGAGCCAGCUAUCCGUGGGCCUUUCGACACACACAGUGACAGAACCAUUCUAGCACGCGUCUGCAUGGAGCCGAUGGCCAAGGUGCUCCCGAGUAGACGCUGUCGUUAGAGCCUUGAAAAUAAUGCUCUUGCAAAAAGACAGCGGAACUGGAAUGGCUCUGCCUGUCCACCUCAUACCUCCCCUGCCGUCCUACUGCUUCCCUUUCUUCCCUGUGUAUUUAUGAUCUCAACCAUCUCCCUGGCCCUUCCAGAACCAUUUUGGAAAUGGAAGGCAGGAAAGAAGAAAGAGGAAGAGAAGAAAAAGGAAAAAGGAGGUUCCAUUUUUUGGACGGAGAAUGCAUCACACGUGUCCAUGCCUGCCCGGCUUAGCCUGUUCACGGACUUCGUUUAACCGAUAUACUUGUUUAGCCCGAAAGUAACCA